rnacentral:rRNA from 1 species
AGAGUGAACGCUGGCGGUAGGCCUAACACAUGCAAGUCGAACGGCAGCACAGUAGGAGCUUGCUCUUACGGGUGGCGAGUGGCGGACGGGUGAGGAAUACAUCGGAAUCUACCUUUUGGUGGGGGAUAACGUAGGGAAACUUACGCUAAUACCGCAUACGCCCUUCGGGGGAAAGCCGGGGACCAGCAAUGGCCUGGUGCUGAUAGAUGAGCCGAUGUCGGAUUAGCUAGUUGGUGAGGUAAUGGCUCACCAAGGCGACGAUCCGUAGCUGGUCUGAGAGGAUGAUCAGCCACACUGGAACUGAGACACGGUCCAGACUCCUACGGGGAGCAGCAGUGGGGAAUAUUGGACAAUGGGC